AGUCGUCGUGGCCUAAAGGAUAAGUCGCCCGGUGCAUUCGUAUCGAACGAUGCGAUUGAACCGGUGUUCGAAUCCCACAGGCCGGUAGCAAUUUUUACUAAUGGAUUACGUACUUAUCAAAUGCUUACUAUCGAUUUUCGUGGUAAAGGAAUAACAUCAUGUAAUAUAAAUGUAAUGUAAUAUCAAUCAAACUCGUUAAAAAAUAUAAUUUGCGUAAUUGCUGGUGCUAGGGCGUAUUGUGAGCCCGCACGGGUAGGUACCAUCAGCCUACCUGUUUCUGCCGUGACGAAGCGUUUCAGUUUGAAGGAUGGGGCAGCCGUUGUACUAAAAAAUCGAGAUUUGCUGGUGGUAGGACCUCUUGUGAGCCCGCACGGGUAGGUACCACCACCCCGCUUAUUUCUGACGCAAACCAGUAACGCGUUUCAGUUUGAAGGGCGGGGCAGCCGUUGUAACUAUACUGAGACCUUAGAACUCAUAGCUCAAGGUGGGUGACGGUUUUUACGUCGUUGAUGUCUAUGAGCUCCAUCUAAGCAAAAGUAUCUAAAAAAAAAGAUCCCAUGAUUGAAAUGUCGGGCGAUUGUUUUCCCAGUCUCUGAAGAUUAAGAUUGAAUCGCUCUUUCCUCAUUUCUCACAAUGUUGCGAAAGGUUAGUGAAUUAAACUCUCAGAUAUCCGACCUACAAUUAGCCCAUAGACACAGCCCACUGCGUUUCUCGCCGGAUCUCUCAGUGGGUGGCGUUUCCGAUCCGGUGGUAGGUUCUGCGAAGCACGGCUCUUGGUAGGGUCAGUGUUAGCAACACUCUGGUUUGAGCCCCGUGAGCUCACCAACACACGUUAGGGUGAAGCUGAAAUAGCCUCCCAAGGCUAUCAGCAUAAAUAGGAAAAAAAAAAGUUGUCUAUUGGUGGGUAACGCCUUAAAAUUAUUCACUAAGUUACAAAGCAAUAAAUGGCCAAAUACCAAUUGCGACUUCGUUGUAAUAUACAUUACGUAGAGAAAUGAGAAAUAAAAACAUCAAUAAUUUAAAAAAAAAUUCAAGACCAAUCCGAUUUUAUGCAUUCUGACGAUUAUACCAACCGCCUUAUUCCUAAAUCUGAGACUGCUGAUGAUACUAUCAAAACAAUGUGACCACGAAUUAAAUUAAUUGAAAACGCAGACAAACAAGAUGGCGCUGAUAAAACCACACCGCAUAUCAAUUGUAAAUAAAGAAUAAGUAAUGACUAUAACACAGGGUAGAGACGCCCACGACAUCUCUCGAAAUGAAAAUAGAAUGCUUAAAAUUAUGUAUUUUUGUCUAGUAUUGUCAGUUUGAACGCGUCCGUUCGGGUGAUCGCUUCGUUUCCCCGAGAUUUCGGCGGGAAAAUAACGCGAUAUGUGCAAAGGCUGUAGGGAAUAAAUUCCUUUGGUUUAAAGUCCAAUAAAAAAAUAUAUUUGUGGACGUUAAAAUAUUAAAUUUGAAAUCAACAAAAUUAAAUAACAGUGAUCGACAAUUUGUUGAAUGUUUAGAAUCAAAUAAAACAAAAUUAUUACUUGGCAAACACAACAGACUGUGUGUCAACGAAGUCAUUUAUAAGUGAGUAGUACACUCAAUUAAUUUAUGAACGAUUACGAGAAUAUAAAAUACAUUACCGACUAUUUUGAGAUAAUUGCACGUAUCCGUAUUGAAAAUUUCAGAACACUAUUAAAAUACGCUCGUAAAAAUGUUCAUAGAAUCGAAAUUUGCGAUUAUGCAGGUAAGGAUGUAACUAUACUUGAGACCUUAGAACUUAUAUCUCAAGGCACCCACCUUAUAUCUUAGUCUAUGUCUAGUCAUUGUAGGUCGUAUGUCCCGUCAAAGAGGUUGCACGCCAAGAAAUCCUUUUUUUUAUUGCUUAGAUGUGUGAACGAGCUCACAGCCCACCUAGUGUGGUUACUGGAGCCCAUAGACAUCUACAACGUAAACGCCGCCACCUACCUCGAGAUAUGAGUUCUAAGGUCGCAGUAUAGUUACAACGGCUGCCCCACCCUUCAAACCGAAACGCAUUACUGCUUCACGGCAGAAAUAGGCAGAGUGAUGGUGCCUACCCGUACGGACUCACAAGAGGUCCUACCAUCAGUAAGUAAGUUACUUUGAACAAAUCCCCUCCCAGCUACUCUAAUAGUAAAAAAUUUAAAUGAUCUAUUUAUGCUCGCGCCAACAUUCAUUAGUAUUAGCGGAAAUAAUAUUUUUCUACAGCUCAGUAAUAAAUGAUAUUCAAUUAUUAGACAAUUUAUUUCAAUCAAAACGAAA